rnacentral:lncRNA from 1 species
CUCGUUCAAUUGAGAAGUAAGAUCUCGCACUGAGCUUUCUAAACCAGAAACACAGGACAAAUCUUCCUGAAGCUUAGCCACAUGCUCAUCACGCUGCUGCACAAGUUGAUCAAGUCUACAUUUCUCCACUUCAAAGUCUGCUGCCAGCUGCCUGAAAUUCUUAAGUUCAGCAUUUUGCUUUUCCAAGUCCAGUAACCUGUCAUGCUUCUCAUUCAAUUGAGAAGUAAGAUCUCUAACAGAGCACUGUAAACCAGAAACACAGGACAAAUCUUCCUGAAGCUUAGCCACAUGCUCAUCACGCUGCUGCACAAGUUGGUCAAGUCUACAUUUCUCCACUUCAAAAUCUGCUGCCAGCUGCUUCAAAUUCACCAGUUCAGCAUUUUGUUUUUCCAAGUCCAGUAACCUGUCAUGCUUCUCAUUCAAUUGGGAAGUA